UACGGGGGGGGCAAGCGUUGUUCGGAAUUACUGGGCGUAAAGGCUCGUAGGCGGCCAACUAAGUCGGAUGUGAAAUCCCCAGGCUUAACCUGGGAACUGCAUCCGAUACUGGAUGGCUUGAAUCCGGGAGAGGGAUGCAGAAUUCCAGGUGUAGCGGUGAAAAUGCGUAGAUAUCUGGAGGAAUACCGGUGGCGAAGGCGGCAUCCUGGACCGGCAUUGACGCUGAUGAGCGAAAAGCUAGGGGGAGCAAACGGGG
rnacentral:rRNA from 1 species